AGGUUGACCUCGGAUCAGGUAGGGAUACCCGCUGAACUUAAGCAUAUCAAUAAGCGRAGAGAAAU
rnacentral:rRNA from 1 species